rnacentral:rRNA from 1 species
GACGAACGCUGGCGGCGUGCCUAAUACAUGCCAGUCGAACGAACCGCGACUGAGUGCUUGCACUUGGUCAAGGUGAGUGGCGAACGGGUGAGUAACACGUGGGUAACCUACCUCAUAGUGGGGGAUAACAGUCGGAAACGACUGCUAAUACCGCAUAGGACAUGGAAUCACAUGAUUCUGUGAGGAAAGGUGGCGCAAGCUAUCGCUAAGAGAUGGACCCGCGGUGCAUUAGCUAGUUGGUAGGGUAAGGGCCUACCAAGGCGAUGAUGCAUAGCCGACCUGAGAGGGUGAUCGGCCACAUUGGGACUGAGACACGGCCCAAACUCCUACGGGAGGCAGCAGUAGGGAAUCUUCCGCAAUGGACGCAAGUCUGACGGAGCAACGCCGCGUGAGUGAAGAAGGUCUUCGGAUCGUAAAGCUCUGUUGUUAGAGAAGAACAGCGCAUAGAGUAACUGUUAUGCGUGUGACGGUAUCUAACCAGAAAGCCACGGCUAACUACGUG